AGCUCCUCGCCCGUCCUGCCAUCUCCUCUAGGUGACUGAUUCUUGCUUGCUUGCUCUCACUUUGGCAGUCCUGGGAGGAGCAAUCACUACUCUUAAAGCUUCUUGGUAAUUUUUCUGACUUCUAACAGGUUUUGGGGUGGGGCCAAAUCCAGCUGACCUUGGACUCAAGGUUGCAGCUGUGGGGAUGACUUUUUUGGUUCCACCUGUAAUGGGAAUUCUCCCCAGUUCCAUCAAUGCAUGACUAAUUUCCUGGACAGCUGAGCCAGCAUGAAACUCUGGUGUAGCCACAAGCCAAAUGGUUUCAGCAUUUUGUGCUUCCUCUGAUAUGGAAUCUGACCGCAGUGCUCCAAAUUACUUGCAAGCAGGUGUAUUUUAAAGAAAUAUAGAUGACAUUGAAAGAGCAGAUGAAAUCUUGAGAGUUGUGGACAGAUGAGCAGGGUAAGUCUGCCAAACUUGGCAUAAAGUUUCAGUCACUGAGAGAAGACAGGGUUCUCAGUACUGCAUGCAAGCUUGUGCUUGCCAAGCCACUGCAUAAUAUCACAACAGAGGUCUUAAAUACAUACGGCCCAGAAGCUUGUGCAAUCCCAAUUCUUUACAAAUGGUUGAGUCAGAGUCCAUAGGUUUAUAAAUUACCUUGGUUUCUGGGAGUUACAAGGGACUCGAUAUGAGAAGGGGAUAAUAUGGAAGAGGGAGAGAAGGCAAGAGAAGCAAGCUUCUGGUGCGAAGACAUGAAGCAAGCAGGCUGAGGAUCACAGUAUCACAGAAUCAUAGAACAGUUAGCGUUGGAAGGGACCUUAAAAGAUCAUCUUGUUCCAACCCCUAGUCAUAGCAAGCUAUGUCAGAAUCCCUCCACAAUCUGCAGGCUCCUUACAGUCUCUUGUCACCAAACAAUUUUAAAUGUUAAUGCAAAGUCCAAAGAAAUAAUGAUUUUUGUUAAACUAAGGGAAAAACAUCUAUUGCAAUAUUUUCUCAAAGCUUUUGCAAAGAAGAAGGGAGAGCUGAAAACCAAAGUCAGCAGCCUCAACACAGACCUUAC